rnacentral:piRNA from 1 species
UACCUGUAAGAGAGCCCUGACUCCCUAAC